AUUGAACGCUGGCGGCAUGCCUUACACAUGCAAGUCGAACGGUAACAGGUCUUCGGAUGCUGACGAGUGGCGAACGGGUGAGUAAUACAUCGGAACGUGCCCGAGAGUGGGGGAUAACGAGGCGAAAGCUUUGCUAAUACCGCAUACGAUCUCAGGAUGAAAGCGGGGGACCGUAAGGCCUCGCGCGAUUGGAGCGGCCGAUGUCAGAUUAGGUAGUUGGUGGGGUAAAGGCUCACCAAGCCAACGAUCUGUAGCUGAUCUGAGAGGACGACCAGCCACACUGGGACUGAGACACGGCCCAGACUCCUACGGGAGGCAGCAGUGGGGAAUUUUGGACAAUGGGGGCAACCCUGAUCCAGCAAUGCCGCGUGCAGGAAGAAGGCCUUCGGGUUGUAAACUGCUUUUGUGCGGAACGAAACGGUCUGGGUUAAUACCCUGGGCUAAUGACGGUACCGUAAGAAUAAGCACCGGCUAACUACGUGCCAGCCGCCGCGGUAAGAC
rnacentral:rRNA from 1 species